UACGUAGGGGGCUAGCGUUAUCCGGAAUUACUGGGCGUAAAGGGUGCGUAGGUGGUUUCUUAAGUCAGAGGUGAAAGGCUACGGCUCAACCGUAGUAAGCCUUUGAAACUGGGAAACUUGAGUGCAGGAGAGGAGAGUGGAAUUCCUAGUGUAGCGGUGAAAUGCGUAGAUAUUACACAGAACACCGAUUGCGAAGGCAGCUUUCUAAGCUGGAUCUGACGCUGAGGCACGAAAGCGUGGGUAGCGAACAGGAUUAGAUACCCCGGUAGUCCCU
rnacentral:rRNA from 1 species